rnacentral:rRNA from 1 species
GAGUUUGAUCCUGGCUCAGAUUGAACGCUGGCGGAAUGCUUUACACAUGCAAGUCGAACGGCAGCACGGGGCAACCUGGUGGCGAGUGGCGAACGGGUGAGUAAUACAUCGGAACGUGCCCAAUCGUGGGGGAUAACGUAGCGAAAGUUACGCUAAUACCGCAUACGAUCUACGGAUGAAAGCGGGGGAUCGCAAGACCUCGCGCGAAUGGAGCGGCCGAUGUCAGAUUAGGUAGUUGGUGGGGUAAAGGCUCACCAAGCCGACGAUCUGUAGCUGGUCUGAGAGGACGACCAGCCACACUGGGACUGAGACACGGCCCAGACUCCUACGGGAGGCAGCAGUGGGGAAUUUUGGACAAUGGGCGCAAGCCUGAUCCAGCCAUUCCGCGUGCAGGAUGAAGGCCUUCGGGUUGUAAACUGCUUUUGUACGGAACGAAACGGUUCUCUCUAAUACAGGGGGCUAAUGACGGUACCGUAAGAAUAAGCACCGGCUAACUACGUG